rnacentral:misc_RNA from 1 species
AAAUUAAGACAUUGACAAUAACCAAGAAAACUAAAGGAAACACAUUCUAAUACUUCACUUCUUGGAAAAUUUGAUAAGUAGUGAGAAGAACCAUUUUUUAUAAGAACAUUUUUAUCAUUAGUAAGAAAUUCAGAUUGAUGAAAAUAGACUUCUCCAAGUAGAAAACAAAGCCUUGUCACAAUCAUUUUGCUUGGAAGGUGGAGUAAGAUGGAGACAGAAAUAGAGACACACAUGGUUCUUGCAUGACUUAAUUU